ensembl:lncRNA
UGACUGACAGCACUACUUCCAUGUGGCAAAAAGUCUGCAAAUCAACUGUGGAGCAGGUGUUCAGUGGAAUUAAGUGAUUCAGAGUCAUUUACAGUGGCAGAAGCAUCAAUUUGAGAAUUGCUAAAGUGAACUAUAUGCACCCAACAUGCCUUGUUCUGGAAGCCAUUUUGCAGACCAUACUUCUGAAGACUGGGUGCAGCAGCAGAAAUCAUAGAGCAUGAAAGAAUCAUAGAAUGGCCUGGGUUGAAAAGGACCACAAUGAUCAUCCAGUUCCAACCCCCUGCUAUGUGCAGGGUCGCCAACCACCAGACCAGGCUGCCCAGAGCCACAUCCAGCCUGGCCUUGAA